CUGUUGCCUCGGCGGGAUCUCUGCCCCGGGUGCGUCGCAGCCCCGGACCAAGGCGCCCGCCGGAGGACCAACCAAAACUCUUAUUGUAUACCCCCUCGCGGGUUUUUUACUAUCUGAGCCAUCUCGGCGCCCCUCGUGGGCGUUUCGAAAAUGAAUCAAAACUUUCAACAACGGAUCUCUUGGUUCUGGCAUCGAUGAAUAACGCAGCGAAAUGCGAUAAGUAAUGUGAAUUGCAGAAUUCAGUGAAUCAUCGAAUCUUUGAACGCACAUUGCGCCCGCCAGUAUUCUGGCGGGCAUGCCUGUCCGAGCGUCAUUUCAACCCUCGAACCCCUCCGGGGGGUCGGCGUUGGGGAUCGGCCCUUUACGGGGCCGGCCCCGAAAUACAGUGGCGGUCUCGCCGCAGCCUCUCCUGCGCAGUAGUUUGCACACUCGCAUCGGGAGCGCGGCGCGUCCACAGCCGUUAAACACCCCAAACUUCUGAAAUGUUGACCUCGGAUCAGGUAGGAAUACCCGCUGAACUUAAGCAUA
rnacentral:rRNA from 1 species